CGCGCCGGGCCUCGCGGGCCUCGCCCGCUCCCGGCCUCCCCGGCCUCGCCGACCCGUCCUUACCGGCGGGCACAGGGCGAAGGGUGGCGCGGGCCGGCGCCUCGGGCGGAGGAUGCCCCGCGCGGGGGCCCGCGAUCCUGGAUGCCCAGGCCGCGGGACCCGCGCCGCGGACGGCAGAGGGGGAGGGGAGGCAGCGGGCGGAGACGCGCGGAGCUGGGGAGCGGGUCCGACGAUCAGUUCAUCUCCGGGCGCCCGGGCCGAGCGGGAAGUACCGAGGGCGCCUCCUCCGUCCGCGCUCCCGCCCCGCCGCUUAUCGGCCGCCGGCAGCCGCCAUGACGCCAAGACCGCGAUCGAGCGCAACCGUCUCCGCCGCGCGGCGCCGCCGAGGUCGCUGUCGCCUCCGCCUCCCGAGCGACGUCACCGCCUCGGUUCACUCCCCUUCCCGGCGCGCGGCGGCGGCGCGCACGCCCGGCCUUUCCGCCGACGCGCGGGGGCGGGGCGGGGCGGGGCGGGGCGCCGAGGUGGUGCACGCCCCUCGGGGAAAGCCACCGAGUCCAGCCCAGGCUCGGCCUUCGCACUCGUAACCGGCGCUACCCCUGGCGUUCGUGGGGCUCCCGGGGAUGGGCGCUCUGGUCACGGCACGGAUGCGCAGGGAUCCAGAGCGGGGGCCCAGGACUGCCUGCGGUGGGGGCCGGCCGCGCGCGCCGGGUGUCCGGAGUCCGGUCGGAGCUGCUGCGUCACCCGGGCAGCUAGAGAACUAUUGGGCAACCUAGUCGCCUCCCGCUGCGAUCUUUGCCUGGGCGACCAGCGACUAAGUCUCCUCCCGGGCGGGGCUUUAGUGAAAGAGAGAAAAUAGAGUUCGAGCUGCUGACCUCCCAGGACGCUCCUUGAUUCGUGUGUGGGUGGCCCAUGCCUGGUUCAUAAAAGAACUUUUACAACUGUGCCUGCCUAGAUCGCUCCCUGGAAUGCGGGUGGAAGGGUGCCGUGCGGAAUCGGAACUGGAGGGGCGUUGGUAACUGGAUCUAAGGUGCUGCAGCUUAGUUGACAGUUACUGUCAUUACUCAGUGACUGCCAGUGGAUGUCUGUGAUGGCCAAUCUUCGUCGUCAGCUUGAUAGGAUUGAGAAAUAUAUAGGAGAUGUGUAAAAUGAACAACUGGAUGUGUCAGUGAGGUCCUUUCCAGAGAAAAUGAAAGGAUUAGGCCUCCAGCUCCUCCUUGCCUGGCUUCAGAUUUUGAUUGAUGCUAUGGAAGUGUGGAAGGUAGAGCCUCGGUGGAAGAAGAAGUGAAUCACUUGGGGCCGUGCUUUGGAAGAGUAAUCUCAGCUCUGGCCCCAAAACAAUUAGCCAAAAUAAAUCUUUUUCCUAUAAGUUGAUUUUCUUGGAGACCUGAUCAUAGUGAUAUGAAAACAAACACCACCACCACCACCACCCCCACCCACACACACACACACGUGGUAUUCUUAAACUGAUAUACUGAGAAACACUUCCAGAAUGGUAAAAUAUGUUCCAGAUAGAAAAUGGUAGCUCUUUCUCCUUUAAUUUUGUGAAUCCCAGUAUAGGGAUAAAUAUAUUCUUUCUCCUACUUAAUAUUUAUAUAGAGACAGUCUGACUUAAGAUUGCUCCUGUUAGUCUUUUUUUUAUUUUAUAGCCAUAAGGCAUUGACAUAUAUUCUGUAGGAACAACUUUUUCUGGGGUAAAGAAAUGCCCUAUAAGACACAGUGCUGAGCCUGGUGUGGUGGCACACGCCUUUAAUCCCAGCACUCGGGAGGCAGAGGCAGGCGGAUUUCUGAGUUCGAGGCCAGCCUGGUCUACAGAGUGAGUUCCAGGACAGCCAGGGCUACACAGAGAAACCCUGUCUCGAAAACAAACAAACAAACAAAAAAACAAAACAAAACAAACAACAACAACAACAACAACAAAAAGACACAGUGCUUACCCAUAAAUCCCCAGUCAAACGUGAACAUAGGGUAGACAAAACAAACUCAAGUACCCAGUGUUACUGAGUUAUUGUACUCUGUAUGACUCAUGUGUUAUAUGCACUUUGGCUUAGGUUAGGGUAUCUUCAGUUUUAGCCUGUGACAUCAACCCCAGUGCCUUGCCAAACUGGAGGAGAUUUCCAAAUAUCAUGUGUAAAUUUACAAAGUUCUUUGAUAGGUAGGCUUGUGAAAUUUUAAGUCAUAGUAAAUGUGACGCAUUUUCUACUUUGCUAAUCAUAAUUUUGUAACAGUCGCUGUUCCAGUGUUAGGCAAAACAUUCUCCCAGGACAGAAGUCUGGCUCUGUGCACCACCUCUCCCACCAUGCGUGAUUUCCAACGUAUGCAGUGUUUGGAAGGAUUUCCUAGUUCCUUCUGAUAUCCAUCUCACAAUUCCCAUAUUCAGACAUCUUGAAUAUCAUAUUUGGGAAUUUUGACUGAUGAAAUUAGUUUCUUGUGUGUGUUUUUUUACAUUGACUGUGUGUGUAUACAUACAUGUGCAGGUACAUGCUAUAAUUCACAUGUAUGUGGAGGUCAGAGAACAACUUGAAGGAGUCCCUUUCAUUACUUGGGGUACUUAAGAUCAAAUUCAGGUCAUUAAACUUGGCAACAACUGCCCUUACCAGCUGAGCCAUCUUGCUAGCUGGUAAAUCCUUUUCUUUUUAAGAUAUGGGUGCUAGUUUGACACAGUCUCCCUAUAGUAACUAUCAUGGCUUUGAUUUCUGGGCUCAAGUGUCCCUUCUGCUUCUGUCCCCUGAGAGUUGCAACUAUGGGCUUGCAUGAUUCUACCUUUUUAAAUAAGUCCCUUAAUACCAAUAAAGUUUUAAAUAGAGUUCUUAAAGAUGAUUCUAAGAGGCCAGUAGGUAUAAAAUCACAUAGGCAUUGUAUAAAUACAAAAUUAUAUCUUUGCUGGGCGUGGUGGCGCACGCCUUUAAUCCAAGCACUUGGGAGGCAGAGGCAGGCAGAUUUCUGAGUUCCAGGCCAGCCUGGUCUACAAAGUGAGUUCCAGGACAGCCAGGGCUACACAGAGAAACCCUGUCUUGAAAAACAAAAAACAAACAAACAAACAAAAACAAAACCAAAAAAAAAAAAAGAAAAGAAAAGAAAAGAAAAGUUUCCUUCAAGGAUAUUUGAGAAAUGUUUCAGUGAAGAGCUGAGCAACUGUAAACGCAGUCAUUACCUUUCUGCUGCUGUGGUGGUUAAAGGGAGAAUGGCCUCCUUCGGCUCAGAUAUUUGGAUGCUUGAUCACCAAAGACUGGAACUGUUUAAAAGGAUUACAAGGAUUAGACUGUGUGGCCUUGGAGAAGACAUGUCACAGGGAGGUGAAACUAAGGUUUCAAAAGCCCAUGUCAGACCCGAUCAGAGACACCACCGCUCCUCUCUGCAGAUCAGGAUGUAACUCUCAGCUAUUGCUCCCGCUCCAUGACUACCCCACCAUGCUCCGAGCAUAACCCUGCCAUGAUGCUAAUGGACUAACCCUCUGAAACUAAGCAAACCCCUCACUUAAAUGCAGUCUUUUUUUUUUUUUUAAGAGUUGCCUUGGUGGUGGUGUCUCUUCCCAGCAAUAAAACAGUGACUAAGACAGUUAUUAUGGCAAGACAUCUAACAAAUAUAGUUUCAAGAAGGAAAAGUUUAUUCUGGCUGAUAACUUGCAUGUAUUAUCCAUCCUGGUGGGGAAGAGAGAGACAGAUGUGAGGCAGCUGGUCACACUAAGCAGUCAGAAAGGAGAGAGAUGAAUCCUUCCUACUGCUUAGCUUGCUUUCCUGAUUCCAUUCAGUCCUCUAAUGUGCUGCCCACAUCCAUUCCUCUUUCCGGAGUUAAACCUUUCUGAAUGUAUUAUAGAUACGAGCUAAAGUGUAUUUCCCUGAUGACCCUAAAUUUAGUCAAGUUGAUAGUGAAGAUUAGCCAUCAAAAUAGGGGAUAUAGAAUACAUAGCCCUGAGAGAACAAACAGCAAUUGAACAAGAGGGUCUACACAGUCAGGGCUCUUCAGGGACCAAGUAGAUUAUGCAGGAAAAUAGGAAAACAUUGAAGGGAUUUUAGCUUGAUGGUGACUUAAAAGGAUGGGUAAAUUGAAAACUGUACUCUAGAUAUAAAUCUCAAACAAAGAUUAAGAUAUAUCAAGGUUGAUAAAAUACUCCUAGAAUUAGUUGGACUCUUUUGUCAAUGAGAAAGCUAGAAAGGGCAUGUUGGAGCAGGUUAGUGAAAUAGAGGUAGAAAGAGUUAGCUGGGAAACAGUAGUGUAUGCUUCCUGAGCUCGGACGGAGCAUUAGGAAGAGGGUACUUGUGUAUACAGCUGAGUGGUAGUGGCAUUCACUCGAAGGUCAGUGUAUCUGGAGGUAGAUAGGGAGGUUGGGAGAUCAUUUGGUGUAGUAUCUACUGAAUUUCUAAUGGCUUUGGUCAUCCAAGCAGCUUCUAAAUAGAAGUAUGAGCCUGUAUGGACCUGGGAACAAGCUCCUUAGGGGAAAGGAUUCUGAUUGGCUCGACGGCGUUCUGGGUUACAGUCUAUCACUACUGAGAAGUCCCAGCAGCAGGAGCUUGGGAGAGCUGAUGACAUCAUCUGUAAAACAGAAAACCUGCUACAUCUGUAAGGAAAGAUUACAUUCCUGAGUGCACAUGAAACUGGCUUUACAAUAGCUUAGGGCCUAGGUAGAGGAAGAUGAGCUAGACGAGGUGGAGUUCUCAGAGGGUGUUGUGUGCUUGAAGACAAAUGACUAAGCACUUCAAGGAAGGAGUGGUGAAUAAAUAAUGUCAAGUGCCAUUGUGAAGUCAUGUGAAACAAGGCCUGGAAAAUGUCCACUGCCUUUGGUGACGCGAUGGUCAUCAGUUACCACAACAAGAACUGUUUUGUUGAGGAAUAUGGCCAUAAGCUAGACUGAGAUAUGGAAUGUGGUAAAUGAUAAAUAAGUGGAGUGAAUCUAAACUCACAGGACUUGACUUUUAAUGGGGAGAGAAUAUGUCAUUUUUUGUUGUUGUUUUUGUUUGAAAUACAUGUAUGUAUCUGCAUGUGGGCAUACACACGUGGCUGCAGUACUCAGGAGCUGCAAGCCGUAUGGCAUGGGUGCUGGGAACUGAACUUGUAUCUGCAAAGGCAAUGAGAGCGUUUAGCCAUUGAGUCAUCCCUUCAGCCCGGAAUGUAUCUUUUCCAUCUUUAAGAUUUUGAUUUAUUUGCUUUGAUAAAAGACUUAAUUGAAAAAAACCAGAAACACACACCCACAUACACACUAGAGGAGUUGGGGGUGAGACAUGGCCUUACUGUAUACCCUGAGCUUAGUAGUAUCAAACAGGCGAUCCUUCUGGUACUACAGUAUGAGUGCUGAGACAACUGGUAUACCUGGCACUUAACUCUUCCAUGCCGUGUUUCUCCCUCCCUGUGAUAGUUAAUUUCAAUUGUCAACUUGACACUGCCUAGAAAAGUAUCUCACUGAGGGAUUGUCUACAUUGGGUUGACCUAUAGUCACGGGGUAGGAGACAGGACUGUCUUAUGGUAACAGAUGUGGGCUGGCUCAAUCCACCAUGGGUGGAACCAUUCCCAAUCAGAAGGUCCUGAACCGUGAAAGGGUGGAGAGAUUCAGCUGAGCAAGGGAAGCAAACGAGCAUCCAUUCCCUCUCCCUCCGCACUUGACUAUAGUACACAUUCCUGCCACUGCAACUUCCCAGCAGUGGCGCAUUGUAAUUUGGACUUGUGAAGCAAAAUAAAUGAUUUCUCCCCUGAGUUGCUUAUCAGGAUGAUACCACAGCCACAGAAAUGAAAGCAGGACACUCUCUGAGACUCUGUCUUCCUUCCAUUUAGAAAUUUUACUUUGAUUUUUUUUUUAUUACGUCUAUUGUGUAUGUAUGUGUCUGAGUAUGUGUGGGAAUACGCAUGUAAAUGUAGCUGCUCACGGAGACCUGGAGGCCGAAAACAUCUGCUUUUAGUUUUUGUCACAGGCAAUUGUGAGCAACCAGGUGCUGAGAAACAAACUGGGGUCCUUUAGAAGAGCCGCAAGUACCUUUAACCAUUGAACUCUGUUCCAGACUUCGUUCCUUUUUUUUUUUUUUUUUUUGGUUUUCCGAGACAGGGUUUCUCUGUGUAGUCCUGGCUGUCCUGGAACUCGCUCUGUAGACCAGGCUGGCCUUGAACUCAGAAAUCCUCCUGACUCUGCCUCCCAAGUGCUGGGAUGAAAGGCAUGUGCCACCAUGCCUGGCUCGACUUCAUUCCUUUGAAUAACUUUGUUUUUCACCCUAUAACCCAGGCUGCCCUCAAACUCAUGAUCUCAUGCCUUAGCCUGCCGAGUGCUGGGAUUACAGAUAUAUACAAACAUUCCUACUUCUGGGAGGUAAUAAUCUUGUGAGAUGAAGUUGACUCUGUGAGAGAAGAGUUGGAUAUACAAAUUAGCUGUGAAGAUAAACACAUUAAUCACUAGAGAAAGUAAAUAUAUGAAUUUUAAGUCUAAUGUAGGUAACUUUGUUUCUGUAUUUUUAGAAUAAGGAACUAAACAAAAACUAACAUUGUUUAUGGUUAUAUUAUAUGGGUGGCAUGUUGAUCUGAUUUACCCCAUAAGUCUCAGGCAUUUUAAUACUUGGUCCCCACUUGGUGGCUGAUGAGAAAGGAUUGGGAGAAGACACGGCACUGGAGGGGGAGGUAUGUUCCCAGGGGUGGUCUUCAAAGUUUCAAAGCAUAUGCCAUCCCCAGUUACAUAAAGAGGUAUGCCUCCUGACUCUUAGUGACAGCUCUCGCCAACUUUUGCUGUGUUAACCCUCUGAGAUAAAUAUGUUUUCCAUACAUUGCCUUGGUCAUAAUUACAAUAACACAAAAGUAACCAGUACAGAUGAUCACUUAACUGGGAAGAGUUUCCAUGAACUCUGCAGUCCCCUACGAAUGCACAAGACGGUUAGAAGAUAUCUGUUAAUGUACCAUAAUGUAGAGCUACCUUUUAAUCCAAAAGUUUUUUUGUUUUUGUUUUUCUGUUUUUUUUCUUUUUUUUCCAAGACAGGGUUUCUCUGUAUAGCCCUGGCUGACCUGGAACUCACUUUGUAGACCAGGCUGGCCUCGAACUCAGAAAUCCGCCUGCCUCCCAAGUGCUGGGAUUAAAGGCAUGCGCCACCACACCCGGUUUAACAGUUUGAUUCCUAAACAGCCUCAAACUUGACUAAAUAAAGACAAAAUGGGAUAUCACCCAGCAACAAAGAAGAAAUCACUCCCACAGUAAGUAACGUGGAUGAAUCUCACAGGCAAUGUACUGAGUGAAAGAGACUCAAAAGAAACCAUGUUUUAUAAUUCAACUCUUGCAAAAUCCAAGGACUAAAAUAGGAUAAGAAGAUCCAGAUAACAGUCACCUCUGUAGGGGUGGUGUGGAUUUUCUAGGGCACAUGACCACUGAAGAAAAUUGUUGCAGUAAAUAUUAAAAAAUGAACCGGCACAACCCACACUUGUGCCAGCAACUCUCUGCCCCAGCAGCCUGGCCAGCCAUGCACUGGUGGGCAAUGGCCAACCCGUUUUUAUCUCGUGGAGACUGAUUCAAAAUUGUUCUGUUCUGUGUCUUGCUCUGAGUGGUGAAUGCAUGGGUUUACCAGGCUGCACAUUUCAACUACACCUCUGUAAAUUUUACUCUGUAUGUUCUAUCCUAUGUUUUAUCUAUUUCUAAAAAUAUACAUUUUGUUGGGCUCAUGAGAUGGUUCCUCAGGUAAACGGUAAAGACACUUGCCGUGCCAGCCUGACAACCAGAGUUUCAUCCCUAGAACCUGUGUGAAGAUGGAAGGAGAGAAUUGAAUCUCUAAAGUUACCUUCUGACCACCACACACAGUGUGGCUCUUAGGCAGAUAUACAAAGCAUUGUCAUUGUCAUCAUCAUCAUAGUCAACAUUGUUGUCAUUGUCAUCUUCCUUGCAUCAUCUUCAUCUUCAUCAUCAUGUCCACCACCAUCAUCAUCAUCAUAAGAGUUUUAAAUUUCUUUUUUUAAUCAAUGUUCAAAAUAACAGGUUUCCUAAAGGCAUUUUUCUUAUGUGAUUGUGGUUGUUCCUGUUCCCCACUUCCACUUCCCCCAUCUCCCUGGCCCCUGCCUUCUGUCAUUAGUUUUGCCCUUCCCAAUUCAUACUGCAUGAGUUCCAUCAUCCCUGUUUCCUUAAAGGCUCCUGCUUCCACACUCGUGAGCUCCUAGUUUCACAUCCUCUACCACAUACUCACCCCCACACAAAUACACACAUAAAAGCUUGAAGCUGGGAGCUGCCUGUGAGAGAGAACAUGCAUUGAUUGUCUUUCUGAAGCCGGGUCACUCAUUUAAUACAUUGUUUACUUCCAUCCAUUUUCCUGAAAAGUGUAGUUAUCCCUACAGCUGCACGAUUAUUCCAUUGUGGUAUCUAGUCUAUGUGCCAUAUUUUACCACCCAUCUGUGCAUUGAUGGACAGCUGAUUCCAUUUCCUUGCUAUUGUAAAGGGCAUUGAUAAACAUGAAUGUACAAUAUUUAUGUCAGGCUAUGGAAUACUUUGAGUAAAUGCGCAAGCAUGUGGAAGCAGAUCGUAUGCUAGCCUUCCCUCAGUUUUGUGAUAAAACUUCCCACUGAUUGUUACAGCCGCUGCACCAAUCUACUCCUUCCAACAGUGAAGAAAUUUCCCUUUCCCUCCACGCCCUUGCCAACAUUUUCUAUCUUUUUUUUUUCAUAGCAACCAUUAUGAUUGAAAUGAGAUGAAUCACAAGUAGUUUUAAUUUGGAUUUUUCUAAUGACUAACAAUACUUAUCACUUAAAGAAAUACUAACUGACCAUUUGUAUUUCUUCCCUUGAGAAAUGUCUGUUUCAUUCACUGACCAAUGUAUUGAUUGGUGAUUUGGAUUUUCUUGAUGUUAAACUUUUGAGUUUUCAUGUAUUCCAGAUAUAGCAGCUUGAGAGAGAAUGGCCCUCAUAGGUUUAUAUAUUUGAGUGUUUAGUUCCAAGUUGAUGGACUGUUUAGAAAAGAUUAGGCGUGUGGCCUUUUUGGAGGAAGUAUGACACUUGAGGGUGGGCUUUGAGACUUCAAACAUUCACACCAAACCCAGCCUCACUCUCUCUGUCUGCCUCUAUCUUGCCAAUCAGAUGUAAGUUCUCAGUUAAUGCUCCACCUACACUAUGCCUGCCUAUCACCGUGCUUCCCACCAGGAUGGUCAUGGACUAACCCUCUGAAAUUAUAAGCAAGGCCUAAUUAGAUGCUUUUCUUUUAUAGGUUGCCUUAAUCAAAAGCCUUCCCUGAAGUAUAGCUGAUUAUACCCUUUGUUUAAAGAAAAAUAAAGUAAACAUAAAAGCCAA